rnacentral:rRNA from 1 species
CACAUGACUCUCGGCAACGGAUAUCUCGGCUCUCGCAUCGAUGAAGAASGUAGCAAAAUGCGAUACCUGGUGUGAAUUGCAGAAUCCCGCGAACCAUCGAGUUUUUGAACGCAAGUUGCGCCCGAGGCCUUCUGGUCGAGGGCACGUCUGCCUGGGCGUCACG